GUUGCUUCUUGGCUUUUUGUUUAAGAUCAAGUAUAGUGUUUGUUUUUAUCGCUUUAAUAUCUGAUAUAUUCUUUAACUAAAAAUAUUGUUAUUAAAUAGGUUUUUAGAUUAGAGAGUUGGAGUUGGGGUUUGCUCCCUCUGCUCCACCCAUCAACCUGUUAUUAUAGUAUCUUCAUAGUUUGAAUUACGGGGGAUACUAU